CAAGGUCUGUGCUUUCUGUACCACCCUACUUCUAAAUAAAGCAAACUAUCAAUAACUACUAGCUACUUUUCAGGGUCAUUACAGAGAGCAAACGAGUUACUAUUUGCAAAAGUAAUACAUUUUGCAAUGGAAGACACACUGUGCAAAUAUUAUCUUACUACCAUUACCAAAUAAUUCAUUAUGUGACAGUUAGAGACAUAUACUAGAACCAAGACAUGAACUGCUAUGGAGGAGGGUGGAGAGAGAGCCGAGACCCAUGAGAGAGAUUUGGCAAGGAUUCUUGGAGGAGCUGAGGCAAUUUGGCCUUCAGGAGAGAAGGAGGGAAAACUGGAAAGGCCUCCCUGUGGCAACUGAAGCUGGGUGUGGGGCAGCAGACUAGAGCCCACCUACCUCUCAGGCAGUCAUCUUCUCUUGGAAGAAACACUCCUCACUGCUCCAGCCCAGCUCCUGGGGCCUGACCUCUUUUUCAAGCCUGCUUAUCGGGCCUGAACUCCUCCAGCUGGAUCUUGUUUUUUAUUUGGCUCCUUCUUUUCAGCUGUUUCUCUUUCAGUCCUCUCGUCUUGAUUCGUGAAAGGGAACGUAGCCAAGCCUCAUCCUCCUGCCCAGGACAAGGCAUAGAGAUUGUAUUUAGGCAUGAUGGACCUACGUGGGACAAAAGACAGGUGUCCAUCACUGGACUUCUGGUAGAGGUCUCCUUUGGGAGCCACUGAGCCUCCUCUAAGUGUUUGGAAUUCAGAAAAACAGGACUAGAUAACUCAACAUGUGUAAACAAGAUGAAGAGAGAUUUCAGCAGGAUGGAAAGGGACAGUAUCGUUUUCCCGGGUAGUAGCUGAAAGCAAUCUGGGUCUGGAGGUGGCACCCCCUCCCCUGAGCAACCAUGGUUGACGUCCUUUCCAUUUUAAGCAAUUGAGCUACCGGCGGGGCUGUAGGUCAGGCCCCACAUGUUACAUAGCUUUUAUCCAGCUAUGAGACCCAGCAUGUAUAGGGCUAGAAAUCCACCCCCACCACCACAUAAACAACUAAAACACCGCAGAAACUUUUCCCCAAAUUCCCACGCCACAAAUCUGGGGGUAUGCUUCCACCUCCAGGAGGAAGCGGCUUCCUGGAAGGCUGAAGGAGAUGAAAAAUGCAAAACUAAUCCUCCCUUGCCCACUCUCACACCACCGCUCGGCCUGCCUGCCCCCCUUCCCACCCACAACCCCUCCUAUUCCCCAAGGGGUGCCAUUUGGGAACCAAAAUCCACUUCGUCAGCGCAAGAGCAACCCUGCCUUUUCUUGCUCCACACACCAUGUGACACUGGAGAACCUCCAGGGCAUAUUUCAUCUGGCAUCAACAACUAGAGGUCACCGUGACCCAAAACUUCCUGCGUUCUCAGGCCUGGCAACGCCUGCCAAAGCUAGCCAUGGUGGGGGUAGGGGAGCGCCGCUUGUGGGGAGCUGACCAAGUGUGGUGUCGGCCGCCCUGCCUGCCAACAGACAGCAACACUGGUUUUCCACUGCCGGCCAUUCAUUGGACUUGGACAGCUUUGUUCCUUCUCUGGGACCAAGUCAACAAGCUGGGACCAGAGGAGCUGCGGCUGUAGCACGCAGGGACCGAACAAAAGAGCAAAUAUACAGAUAUCCCUGGAAGCCAGAGUUCUUGGAAGGAAGAAAUACACAUACAGAAUGGGAGAAGGCAAGGAAAAACCCUGUAAGGUUGGGAUGCAUUCAGAGAAAUAGAAACUUCUGAUUCCAUAUAGGCCUUCCUUCAUCCCCUCAACCCUCAGCUUUGUGGCCUCUAUCUUGGACUGUCAAAGGCCAGUUUAAACAAUGGUCACACAGAGAUUCACACUUCUCGCAAGCCCCAACUCAAUCUCCUGCCAUGUUUUUCAGCUGUCUGAAUCGUGUGCACGGUUGUGGGACAUUUGGACUACAGAUAAGAAAAUGUGGCACAUAUACACCAUGGAAUAGUAUGCAGCCAUAAAAAAUGAUGAGUUCAUGUCCUUUGUAGGGACAUGGAUGAAAUUGGAAAUCAUCAUUCUCAGUAAACUAUCGCAAGGACAAAAAACCAAACACCGCAUGUUCUCACUCAUAGGUGGGAAUUGAACAAUGAGAACACAUGGACACAGGAAGGGCAACAUCACACUCUGGGGACUGUUGUGGGGUGGGGGGAGGGGGGAGGGAUAGCAUUAGGAGAUACACCUAAUGCUAAAUGACGAGUUAACGGGUGCAGCACACCAGCAUGGCCCAUGUAUACAUAUGUAACUAACCUGCACAUUGUGCACAUGUACCCUAAAACUUAAGUAUAAUAAUAAUAAAAAAAAAGAAAAAAAAAGGAGAGAUUAAUAACACAUAAAUAGCCAACUGGUGGAGCAAAACUCUCACAACCAGCCCAGGACCACCUGCCACUUGAUUCGUAUGUACGAGAGAAAUAAUUUAUCUAGUGUAUUCUAUUUUUUAUUUUUUCUAUUGCUCCUGUAACAAAUUACCACUGUAUUAGUAGCUUAAAACAACUUGAAUUUAUUUUCAUACAGUUUUGGAUGUCAGAAGUCCAAAAUUCAAGGUGCAGGACUGCUUUCUUUCUGGAGGCCCUAGGGGAAGAAUCUGUUUCCCUGCUUUUUCCAGUGUGUAGAAGUCACCUACAUUCCUUAGGUCACGGCCUCUUCCUUGCAUUACAGCAACCUCUGCUUCAGUCAUCACAUUUUCUUUUCUGACUCUGCGCCUCCUCCCUCUCUCAUGUGAAGACUCUUGUGAUUACAUGGCGCCCACUCAAAUUGUUCAUG
rnacentral:lncRNA from 10 species